AAAUUAUGUUAUUAAUUAUAUAUAUAUAUAUAUAUAUUAUAUAUAUAUAUAUAUAUAUAUAUAUAUAUAUAUAUAUAUAUAUAAGAUACAAAAAGUUACAAAAUAUUAUAAUUAAGAUUACACAAUUAAGAUUUUUAGUAGAUUGUAAAUCUGAUGAUCCCAAAGAUGUAGAAUGACAAGCAGAUCGCUGAAUAAUUCGAUGGCGAAUAUUGAAUCAUUAAUGUAUAUCCAAUCAUUACAUUGAUCUCAAAAGAUUCAAAAUGAUCAAGAACCUGAAUUUUCAAACAUUUGAUUAAUAAGUGGUAUAAAUUUAUUCGUCUUGUACGUAUGCUCCAAUUUUUUCCUUAUUUAAUUAAUUUUAAAUAUAAAAGAAAGUGCAGUCAAAAUUGUAUUUUUUAAUUCUGAUUAUUAAUUGUUAUUAAUUGUUAAUGUGAUUUUAGAUACUAAUAUAACAGUUAUUAAUGUAUAUAAUGUUCUCUUCCAGAAAUUACUAUUCAACUUAUGGAUCGUUACUUAUAUAGUGUUAUAAUUUUGUUAGCAGUUUAUUCUUUGAUUUUGUUUUUAUUUCUCUGUUUAUAUUGUAUAGUUGAUAUUAUAAAUAAUUUUAUAUAUAGUUAUAUAACAUUCAAUUUUAUAAAUAAUUUUAAAAAUAAGUAUAUUUAACAUUAAAUAAAACAUAAAAUUUUGUUAUCAUACAUUUACAUUUUCGAAGCUUAAUGUAAAAUAUUAAGGAAAAAUAUUCUAAAUUGACAAAGAAAUCUCUCGAAGAGGAAAUUAGAAAGAAUUCUCUCGUAUAUGAAACAAAUUUAGAAUAUACUUUACAUUAUAAAUACAUUUGAAAAAGAACAGCCAAGGUAGUGCAAGAUUAAAUAAUCACACAAGAUUGUUUUUAAUAUAUUCUGCGUUUUCUUGUUUAACAUGUUUCAAUGAUAUAAUUUUAAUCAACAUAAACGAGACGCAAUAUGAUCGCCUUUUCGAGACUUGCCAGUGAUCGAGGCUCCGUCCUUCGAUCCACUCGAUCUCUUCCGCGUGGACGGCGGCGUGAUAAUCGGCGGGGAGAUAAUUAUCGAUUCUGUAUAUAAUGUAAUAAUGAUAUUAUCGUCACUAUAAUUAUCAAUCGCGAUCGAGCGCUCGCGCGUAGCGCGCUCGUUAUGUUGUUUCUCAUCGUUCUCUAUCAUGUGACCCCUCUUCCCCAUUUUUUUAUUAUUAUAUAAAACUGUCGUGAUGCGCGUCACGCACCAUGCAUUGACGAUCGCCGGAUGACGUAAAGGCAACUGAUAGAAAGAGAGAAAUUUAAAAUCCGUAUUUAAAAAAAAAAAAAUCGAAAAAACGAUUCGUGCGUAUAGUGAGUAAGUAUUAGCGGUUAAAGGAAAUCAAUUAAGAUGAAACACAGAAUAUAUGUAUACAUAUAUAAUAUGAAAUAUUAUAUGAGAGAGCGAAAGAGGGAGAGUAAGAGAGAGAGAGAGAGAGAGAGAGAGAGAGAGAGAAAAAGUUCUGGAAUUACAUUGUAACGUCGUCCACGGUUCCCCCAUAAAAAAAAAAAACGUUUCGCCGCGUAUUAACCUGUUUUCAGGAUCGAGCAUCCUCGCCAAUAUAGAAGACUUUAUUUUUAACGUUACUUAAGAUACAAAAGAGAGCGUUUGAAAACGAACGAGAGAAUGUUUGAGAGAGAAAGAGAAAAAGAGAGAGAGAGAGAGAGGGAGAGAGAAAGAAGGAGAAAGAGUGAGAAACGGUCAGAGUGCUCGAGACCGAAGCUACGAGGUGAGAUGCGUCGGCGUAACGAUGAGAUGCAUUCAAGACCCGUAAGGAUAAAAGCGAGAAAGAUGCAAAAAAAAGAGAGGCGCACACUCGGACUUUAAACGUAUAUACAUUGAUUAGGGACGGCGAACGAUGUAUCGAGGGGCAUCGAUAGUGUCGGUGACAGGAAUCGUUCACAUAAUCCGACACAUGUACCGCGUUGUUAAUGGAUAUUAACGAUAAAUUAAGAAUGGUAUCGAGGGAUUAAUACGUGUAAAUUAGACGACAGAAAGUAUCCACAUAGACGUAUACCUACAACCAAAAAUAUAUAUAAAUAAAAAAAAAUAUACACACAUACACACACACACACACACUCGUACACGCGCGUAACAUAUAGACACAUAACGAUUGAUGAUGCAAAAGUGGUGAUAUUUUGAGAAAGAAAUAUUCUCAAAAUAUUCUAGAGAAUAGAUUUGGAAAAAGAUUUCACCCAAGGGUGAAAAUGUUUGGGAAAUAUUCUUGGAAAGUCAAAAUAUUUUUCGAGAAUAGAUUCCAAAAAGACACUCUCCCGCUUCGCAUCAUCAUGAAUGAUAUUCGAGGAAAGUGGAUGUUGCAAGCGUGACAUAAUUGAUCUCACGAUUCGAUCUUCUAUCGAACGGAAACGUUUACGAGUCUCUGUGAUGAACUUGUGUUUCCUGAAGAGGACAAUAAACAGGGAACGGAUCUAACAAUACUUCGGGCAUCAUCUCGACAUGCUGGUUUUUUUCACGAAGGAUGCAUUUCGGCUCGAGGAAUCUCCAAACUUUGUAUCUUUGGUAUCUUCCUUUUAUUUUUAUGAUUCGUACGGUUCAGCUAGAGAGUUAACGUUAAUCAUUGCAAUCCAACUGGCGAACCGGGAAUCAUAAACUGCGAACUUAGACUCGAUGUUAAUCUCGUUAGAAUCGAGGACGAUGCCUCAAGCUACGUAGAUCCUAUUGAAAUAAAGAUGACAAAACUUCGGUUAUUUGCGCUUAUUUGCGCUUACAAGUAUCGGUAUUGCUUCUGAUAAUCAUCGAAAUAAUAUCUGAAAUGAUAAAUUACUGAAGUUUGAUGGGAAUAAAAUAACGUGUAUCAUAAAAAUACACUAAUAAUAUCUCAGACUUAUCGUCCAGAGAUCGUUAAUGUCUUCGUUCAACGUUUCGAGUCGUCGAUCGUCGUCCGACGGACAAAUAAGGAUUUAAUUGCCGAUUAAUGGGAUUUGAUAGUGUAAUAAUGUAUCCGACACACGCACACAUUCCGUUGUCGUCCGGUGUGUCGAUCUACGGUUCGAACACAUGCGUUUCCGUUUUUAAAGCGAAAAAACAUCUGACAUAAUAUAAUAUUUUAAUAUCAUAAUAGCGUAAUAUACUACAAUAUUAUACUAUUACAAUGAUAUAAAAUAUUAUACACGAUGAUAUUUAUAUAAUAAGAUGAUCGACGAAUGAGAGAUAUCGUGCCACAAAUGUUACGCGUAACAUCUAAAAAAGAAAGAAAGAGAUCAUAUUGAAAAUCUGAAAUCGAUCGACUAUUUCAUAUAUUAACGUAAAAAACAAAGAAUUUUCCACGUUAAUGCUCGUCGAGAAAAACAAUCACAUCGAUAGUCAACAACAAAAAGUCGUGUUGAUCUUCGUGUUGACAUUCGUGAGAGAAUCACGUCAAUUAUUAAUAUAUUUCCAAUGAAAAUUUAUACGCAUUGUACAGUGUUUAUAUAGUUGGUAAAUAAGAACGGGUAAGCUUUUCUUUCUUUUUUGUAACAGACUGUACGAAUCGCGUGAAUUUUAUCCAUAAUAUUUACGAAUGUUUUAUGCUGUAAUAUUGCUUCCAUCUUUCGAUAUACGCAUUUCACGUAUAUAAUCGCGCGUGCUUUAACAAAUUUCUUAUGAUCUCCGCGAUACAUAUAUACAAAAUUCUGAAAUUGCAUUAAGUGGUAAAAUUCAUUAACACUUGAUUCUUGACUGUCAAUCGACAUAAUUUUAAAAUGUUUUUUUUUUACGUUUUUUAUAUUAUUGAUUAAAUUCUCAAUAAUAAUCUUUUUUGUCGAGUGUAUCUUUAUUUAAAUUAAAUAAACUUAUACAAUAUUAAUUUUUUUAAAUAAUUUUAGUAAUAAUCGAUAGAUUUUUAAAAAUUGUUUAUUUUACACAUUUUACAAAUUAUCUCCUUAUUACACAAUAAAAUACAAAAAAUUGAAGAUAUAUUAUCUCUGAAAGUACUAUAUUAUCAAAAGAAAAAAUACUACAGGCAGUCAAGAAUAUGAAAAUUUAUUUUGUCUUUUUUUAUUGCUGAAAUUUUUUUUAUGCUGAAAAGUCGAUCAAUCUUGACAGAUUUAACUUAAACUACGAAUGUGAUGAGUCGUCCAAAAAUGAGCUCUUUCUUUUUUGUCCACUUGAAAUCGAAUAUGCGAAAGAUCUGCCAUCCUAAGAAUCUUUCAAAAGAUGAAAAUGUCAACGAGAAUUGAACUGUAAUUUGCUAUAUUUAUAGACGUUAAUUUAUCUCGAGCAAAAGAAUUUCUUCGAAGAAAAGUUUUCCUUGGAAGAAAAUCGGAUAUCUCCUUUUUCUCUUAUUUAUCGAGAAUAUGUGUCGGAAAAGCAUGACGAAUAUGGUGCCAAAAUUGUCGUAUAGCAAUAAUUAGUAGGAUUAAUAUCAGACUGACUUAUAAUAAAGUGUUCAAGAGUUUAUCGAAAAGUGAAAUAUCAAUGAAAGAUUUAUCGCUGGAAUAUCACGAUUGAUUAUCGCGUGUUUGCAAUUAAUAAUAAACGAUAUAUAAUUGUUGAUCAUGAUAUUAUACUCAACACCAAGGAAAGCACAAUUUAUGCACAUACAAAUUCCGAAAAUUACUGCGCUAGAAUACAUAAACGAUGAAUAUAUUUAUACGGAUGGUAAAUUACUUUAAAAUUAUAUAUAAAAAAAGAGAGCGAUAAAAUUUUUAUCUUGAGUGAUUUGAGCAGUUUAACUCUGUGACUUUGCACUUAUUAUUAAAUUUCUGCGAGUGAUUAUUUAUGAUAAGACGCAAAUUUUACAAUUUUGUUUAUUGUAUCAAAGAAGUUCUUUGGAACGUGAAAUUAAUGUCUGAAUGGAAAGAAUCAGAACAUAUAGAAAAGAUUAUAAUUAUUUUUAAUAAUGAUACGAAAAGCUAUAUCGGGAUGAUAAUCUUUCUUACGCAAAAAAUUACGUUUUCUACGAUUCAUUCAUGAGGGAAAACAAAUUGUUUCAGUAAUUUUAAAGUUUGACUUUAUUUUAAUUGCUUGGAAUCUCGUUGACAUGACAAAUCUCGUUAAAGAGAAUGGCAGGAAUAAUCAGAUACAUACAUACAUGUAUACAUAUACAUAUAUACAUAGAUACAGUCACAUACAGUCACGCGCACAUAUACACAAAGACACAAAAUAUAUCUAAUAAGACAUCGGUUAAGAUCUGACAGCGAAAAAAAAUAAUAAGAUACCUACUUACUAAUUAUUAUAGGCGAGAACACACACGUGCAGAUUUAAGAAUUUAUGGAGGACCUUCUGUUGCUCGAAUUAUUGCAUUGUCUACUAAAUAUAAAUUUUAUUAUAUAAAUUCUGUCGAGGCGCGUCUCCGAGCGAGAGUAGAUGUUUCUUUUUCUCCUCGACCUUCAUACCUUCCUGGAUUUACGAGAAUAUUCGAAAGAGAGAGAUACACAACACAAAUAGAUAGAGGAAAGUGCGUAACUGAGGAAUGCAUUUUUGCGCGUAUAAUUGAGCUACUAUCACAAUAUCAAAUCGCUUCUCAUAUAAUUCUACAAAGAUUCUCUAUUAUGUCUUAGGAUCAUCGCGAAUGCCCUCUCAUUCAGAUUCUGCAACAAAUGCGAUACAAAUAAAUCGAUUUAUCUUUAUCUUGUCUCUCUGUUAAAUAAUCUCUGUUAAACUUCUGGUAAAUUAACGCCCAGAUACAAAUGGAAGACAAUGUAGGAGGUAUGAUCGCUUCUUGUACGAUUAUCUCUUGAAAUGUAAGCGCUUUUAUUUAUACACGUAUACAUGUGUAUGUGCCGAAAAGUGUUUCGUCAUCAUCACUUUAUCGCGAUCAAGUGUUAUCUAGUUGGAGUUUAAUCGAGUUUAAGCUGAUAAUGCGUCUCAUAUUUUUUAUCUUAUCUCUUAAGAAAUAUAAAUUUUAAAAACAGGAUAGAAUACAGGUUCACUCAAUUGCUAUUUUUAGAAAAACAAGUAAAAUAUUUUGCAUAAAAAAUAGUUUCCCAAAUUUAUUUAAUAUAUUACAUAUAUAUUUAAAAAUUAAAUAAGGAAUGCUUUAAACAAGAGAACGCUGAAGACAUGUAGACCAUGUUAUAUUUUAUCGUAUCUUUCAUGUGUAUUCUUUUAUAAACCUUUUUUUCAGGCAAUAUAAAAAAAUAAUAAUGUCAUACUCCACAAAAAAGGAACGAUUACAUAAUUAUCUAGAAAUCACAAAAUACUUAAAAUUUUUGUAAUACCAGAUAUCAAUUCGAGCAAAUUUGAUCGAAAAAUUAAAUGGUCCUCUUAUUAGUAAAUUGCAUUAUUCAAUAAGUACUGAAAGCGGAUCUAAAAACGCUAAGUAAACUGUCAAAUUAUUUAGGAUUUUAACGAUUUAUCUCCAUUUACGCACUUUCUUGAUGAAUUGUAGCAGAGAAUAAAAGAUCGAACAGGGUCGAGACACUCUAGCUCGGAGACGUAUCCCAAUAGUUGGCCUAGUAUCAAGUUUCAUAUUUUUCGCCCCCUCCCCCACCCCGGGUAUGCAGUGAAUCGUCGAACGAUUGAUCGUCUAUUGUAUGAUUAUUGACAUUCUUCCAGAAAUUUUAUUGAUAAAUAGAUAUAUAAACUUUAUCGCUACCGUUGAACAUAAUAAUAUUUGGGGAUAUAUGAUUAGGGCGAUACCUUCGGUAUUUAUUGGGGACACCAAGAAAACUAAAUCGAGAGAGAAAAAAGGAAGAGUAAGGAAAAAGAUAAAAGGGAGAUUGAAAAAAACAAUAACGGGAUUGAUAGAAAUAUAUAUAUAUAUAUAUAUAUAUAUAUAUAAGAAAGGGGGAGUUAUAGAGGGGUACACACAGUCAAGGGAAAGAGCGGGGGCGGAUGAUAAAAUAAAAAAAGAUAGUGUAUAAUGAUGUAACGAGUCUUUCCAGGAAAGAAAAGAAAAGAAGAGAGGGCAGAGAUAUAAAAUAAGAAAAAGAGAGAGAAAAGAAUCUCUUCCUUGCAUUGUGAAAUCGUAAAAACCAAGGGAGAACCAAGAAUUAGAUUAAAUAUUGUAUGUAUGCGAGCGGAAAUAUAUGGUAAGCAAGAGAGUAUAAAAAAAAAGAAAAAAGAAAAACCCUUUACGUUUUCUCACUUAUUACGUAAACGAUAUACGUUAAUAAUGGAUAUGUAUAUUAUGAUUACGAUGAUUGCUCUAUUUCUUGUUAUUGUUCCUCGGUUGUAUGCGGAGAAGUUUAAGAGUGAUCCAUUUGUACAAUCAUUGAGUCAUUAAAAUAUGAUUAUUCAUUAUGGAA